rnacentral:lncRNA from 1 species
UGCAUUUCUGAUGUAGUUCUCCGGAAUCACACGCUUAGUACAAUAACGUAUAAUGAUUAUCUGUGCCAGGGAAUCAUCUUUUUGGUAACAUUAUCAUAUAACUUGUAUCAUAUAAACCUCUAGGUGUAACAAAUGUUCUCUGGCGACAUCUGGUAGAUUUUGUACUUCAGCCAAACAGGUUUCCAACUACUCACGCGAACCUCAACUCAACAGUUGUUCGUGAAACACUACGUCGGAAAUUCAGCGAUAAUGUCUGACUUUGAUUGCGACGGGUGUUUAGACAUAUGCAGUGCCUGUUGUGUGUGCUGUGAUGUUUUCUGUGGUGCAUUCGAAUUAGCUUCGACCCUCGUUCUCUGCGACUGUUGCUGUGGUCAAACACCCAACAGUAACAAGAAAGAGAAGAAGAAGGAGGAGGAGGAGGUGGAGAAGGAGGAGGAGGUGGAGAAGGGGGAGGAGAACAUUGUGACGAGUCAACCCAGCUCAACCAACGACGCGGAGAACUAGUACAAGUUUACAAGAAUAACAAUAAGCAACAAAUAAACUUGACAAUAAAAUUAAAUGGGGAUAUAUAUAUAUAUAUUUUCGUAAAUUUUGGUUGGUAUUUCUCAUUGUGUGACUGGAUGUUAAGAUUCUGUUCACGCCUUGUGUAUUUAUUGCAAGAGAUGUCAAUUUUGCAAAUUUUUUUAAUAUAUUGACUUUGUGUUAUGCUGUUUUUUUUUUUUUUUUUUUUUUUGGGGGGGGGGGUGACUCAAGGAAACUUGCUCAUGUAAAUGUUUUAGUUCCAUGUAUCUGACUUGUCAGUUUAUGCAGUAGUUGAUAGUCGAAAAAGUAAAAAUAACUUUCCCAUCCCCAGCGUUAUCCCAAGACCUUUUUUCACCAGUAUCCUCAAACUACUUAAUGCUAUCCCUAUUCCUACACUGUUGAAUCCACUUAUUACAAAUUCUUCCCCUAUUCCUUGGCAAUAUUCCUCUGAAGUUCGGUUUUGCUUAGGCUGGUUCCAGAUAUUCACGUGAAAUUCUGUAGGAGAGUUCAAUACCGACAUAGUAAAUUUCCUACCUGUCUUUAAGGUUAGUUUUAUGGUCUUUUGGGUAAAAAAGACAAUUUGACGUUUCAGAUGUAUGUUUAUUUUAGGUUUAGACAGCAGUGUUAUGUCUUUGAAAGAUAUACCACCUGCUUGUGAUAUUACCUGGAUAAUUCUACAGUCAUAUAAACAGAUCUAUGGGACUCACCCUCCCUUGCACACAAUAUUGUUACCUGUUAUAUUAACCGAAGCUUUUCUUUCACUCUUACUGACGGAAAUGAAUCGUAAGACUUUCAGCCUUAUUAAAUAGCUCUGUCCAUACCUUCAGUCUAGACUCAGUGCACUCUUUUUUUUUCUCCGUGCACUUUGUACCCUGUUAAAGGUAGCUACGAGAUGCGUGUCUCUCCGCCAUCCACUCGGAGGUUAAGAAUCACUUUCUGACAGUUGUUUUUGGGCGCGAAAGUCGAACCUUUUAAAGAUCAGCCUUUCCUCUUCGCCUUUUUCUUGAUUUGUUUAUGGGUUUUGUAUCUGAUUCCUUGUUUAUACGGUACUGUACUGUUUUGUGAUAUGAUGUAGUGUAUGUGUUUAAUAUUAUAUAUGAUAUAUAUGAUAUAUAUUUGUGCGUGUGUGUGUGUAUAAGUAUGUAUGUAUGUAUAUACAUAUAUAUAUAUAUGUAUUUUUUUUAUUUAUAUAUACUUAUGUGUGUAUGUGCCUACAUUAAGCAAACGUUUUGUAAUCAAUGAACAUUUAUAUUGUACUGAUUUCUUCUAUUGUAUUUUCUUAGGAAAAGAAAAAUGUUCCUAAUAUCUUGUUUACAUAUGAUGCUACACAAAGAAUUUACCAUAAAAUGAAAUGUCUUUCAUUACCAAGAAUAAAUAUCUGUAACAAAAUCAA